CCACAACAGAGUCAGCUCAGUGUUUUCCCUUUUCCCACUCAGUCUUAUGAGAUUAGGGUACCCAUGAGGGCCCAGGGUGCAGUGGCUACAAACAGCAGCUUCCUUGAUAGUAUAUGCAGCCUGUUGCUAUACAGGUUGCCCUAAGGGAGCUUGGAGACAGAC
ensembl:snoRNA SNORA70 Small nucleolar RNA SNORA70